CCUACGGGUGGCAGCAGUGAGGAAUAUUGGGCAAUGGACGCAACUCUGACCCAGCCAUGCCGCGUGAGUGAAGAAGGUUUUCGGAUUGUAAACCUCUUUUGGAUGUGACGAUGAUGACGGUAGCAUCUAAAGAAGCCCCGGCUAACUUCGUGCCAGUGGCCGAGGUAAUACGAAGGGGGCAAGCGUUGUUCGGAAUAACUGGGCGUAAGGGGAGUGUAGGGGGUUUAGUAAGAUAGGGGUGAAAUCCCAGGGCUUAACUUGGGAAUUGCCAUUAUAACUAUUAGACUAGAAUUACAGAGAGGAUAGUGGAAUACCCGGUGUAGAGGUGAAAUGCGUAGAUAUUAGGUAGAACACCAGUGGCGAAGGCGACUAACUGGCUGUACAUUGACGCUGAGGCUCGAAAGCAUGGGGAUCAAACAGGAUUAGAUACCCCUGUAGUC
rnacentral:rRNA from 1 species